CAAGAGCCCAAAGAUCCCAAUACGCUGACAGUCAGCACAAUGUCCUGCAGGAGAACCCCCGCUUUGCCAAGCCCUGUCAGCACUCCAGAGGAUCCUUUGGCAGUUGUCUCUGAUGAUCUUUGAAAGCCCCCUUGCUGAAGCCUGCAGAGUGCCUCCACCCCCCCUGCCACGGGCUCAGGCCGUGCUCCCAGAGCUGUGGAGUGUGACAAUGGUGUUUGUGUCCAGUCUAUCAAACGCCAUUAUCACACUAAAUAGCUAUGGGUAGACAAGGCAUCAGGGCAGGAAGGUCUGGGACCUCUGGCACUGCACCUGCCCACUGUGCUGAGGAAUAAACAGCCUGGGUGCAUGUACAGCUUGGGAGUUUCUUUUUCCUGUUGGACUGACCAGGACAAUAGAAAACUGAAGCCAAUUAGCUGAUGAAGUGAAACUCUGUCUCUUACUUUGGUACCAAAUCACAACAUAGGUUUGGAAUAUUGACUGAGGUGCUCGUGACAACCUUCAAACACUUUCCAAAAUUCUGAUUAAAAUCUAUUGCCUCUAACUUGAAACAUCAUUUAUCCAGGUUCCACACGCUUUCAGCUUUGCUCCCUUCCAUGUCACAAUGAUUUGAGCACCACACCCAAGCCCACUGCCUUAUGUUCUAAACCUUAAUAUUCACAGCACCAAAUGCCUCUCCAGUGUGUACUUGUGGAACAGGAACAUGGCUCAGUGCUGAGCUUUUAG